UACAUGGGGUGCAAACGUUGCCCGGAAUUAUUGGGCGUAAAGCGCACGUAGGCGGUUCGUUAAGUCGGAUGUGAAAGCCCUCGGCUCAACUGAGGAAGUGCACCCGAAACUGGCGAGCUUGAGUACGAAAGAGGAUCGCGGAAUUCCCGGUGUAGAGGUGAAAUUCGUAGAUAUCAGGAGGAACACCUGUGGCGAAAGCGGCUCACUGGACCACAACUGACGCUGAUGCACGAAAGCUAGGGGAGCAAACAGG
rnacentral:rRNA from 1 species